GCCGGGUGCGGUGGCACACACCUGUAAUCCCAGCUGCUUGGGAGGUUGAGACAGGAGAAUCACGAGUUCAAAGUCAGCCUCAGCAACUGUGAGGCACAAAGCAACUCAGUGAGACCCUGUCUCUA
rnacentral:sRNA from 1 species